CUGAAGUAAUAGCUGGAAAAUCUAUGAUUUUAGAUGUGCUUACUGAGCUCUAGAAAGGUUUCUUAGAAGAUCUUGAAUAUUUAUAUCUGAGGAUUCAAAAUCUGAGCCUCUUUCCUGGCCUGCAAACAGCUUUGCUUUCGAGAUGACUCUUUGUGGUUUAUUGUGGUGAGUUCAUCAAAUAACUUUCCCCUCUUCUGAGUUUAGUUUCCAUCUGAGGGAUAGUUUAUCCCCUAGAUGCUAACAAGACCAAUUACACUGUUUAGAGUCUUCCAGCCUCAUUUGGAUGAUCCCUUCAGUAAAUUCCCUCCUCAUGUGCGAUGACUCCUCAAUAAAUUCUCCAGGCUGUGUUUUCACCACAUUCCUUCAAAGUCUCAUCACUGGUUGAGUACCUCUUGAUGUAUUAUUGUAUAAAAGUGUUGUGUUGGUGACAACAUGCAUCCUUGUUUGCCUGGCAAAUGCUGAUCUGUUUGUUCGUGCUACACCACUGAGAGUGGUUUGCCUAAGGUGAUUGCUCGUGCCUUUGUGCAGUCAUCAUUCUGGUACCACAAACAGCCUACUCUUACCAGUCUGAGGGCAAAAUGUUCUAUUUGACUUUAAAGCAAGAUGUUUUGCCCAGGCAGCAGGUGAAAUUAAUCUCCUGAUCAUUCCAGUGCAACUGCUGGCUGGCUAUCAAGGCUCAAGCAUUGGCUCGUGUAUUUUGGGAGUCCUGCGGUCUGAAAAAAGGUGUAACCUACAAAUGCCAUUUUAGCCAUACAUUCAUGGCACUCAUUAACGAGGCAGAGGACAGAACAUGGUUGCAGACCUUGGGUUUUAUACCUCUGCAGUCCUAGACUUCUUCCUCUUUUGAGCAGAGACACUGACAGUCAUCCUAAACUAUAAAGCAUAGUCAUGUUAAUAAAAUAGUAAUAAUAAUAAUGCAUAGCUAAGCAGCAACAAAUAAGCUGGAGUGAGGUUACUGUGCUUUGCUUUCCCUUUCCUUUAACGGAUGCCAACGCUGGCCCUCAAGUUUCAGCAGUUUUUCACCCUUUGAAAAAUCCAGGCUCACCCUCCCUUUUCCUCCCCACCCCCAUAAUUCCCCUUGGGUAUUGUCCUAUUGAUGUGACUUUAACCAGUUACAUAAAGGUCAGUGUGCACUACUGCUCUUAUGCAUGUAAAGCAAUGAGAAUAACAGCAGUCACAAUUCACUGUAGAAUCCAUCCCAAGUUUCGACUUUUUUUUCAUAAAUAAUUUCAGUUCUAGUAAGUUUUGUUGUUUACAUAUUUUGGGGGAUAGUGGUGUCAGUUUGAUGGUUUAGCUAGUCAAAUAACAUCAUAUUAUUUCCCUCUUAGUCUCAUCUUUAUCAUACUCAUAUGAAUUAAAAAUGGGAACUUUUAAAGCACUUUAACUCCAAAGACAUGAGAGUCUCAGGCCUACUGUGACUCCUGAAUUUCCUACUUAAUAAAUACAUGAACGAGAUAUGGUUUUGUAUUUCCUGAAUGAGAGCAGCACCUCUUUAGUUUUUUAUUUUGGGACAGAAUAUAUUAAGCUUAAAUUCUGAAUGAACUUGACACCAGCUUAAUGUAGUAACGUGCAGAAAGUUUAUUGAAAAAUCUUUUAUUUUUCCCUGUUCAACCUGAACAUAUUGUACUACUGUGCUACAUAAGCUAUGUGGCUUAUUUUGGGGGAGUUUAGACUUUUAGGUAAGUGAUAACACAAAGUAUUGGAAACUUCUACUGCAUUUUAAGAGUAGUCACUCUUACAAGUUUUUCACUUAAUUCUUUUUUCCUACAGCAGUCUUUCGUAGCCAUUCUAUACUGUUCAGAGGAACAGACUUGGUUCAGCUGUGAAGUAUCACUACUGUAAGUGGAUUCAUGCACUUUCCCUGGAAUGGAAUAAGAUCUUCUGAAAAUGUUCCAUCUGGAAGGAAGCAGGAAAGACUCGUUUUGUAUAGCACUUGACUUGGACCACAUUGAAGGGAAAGGCUCAGGAGCAGCAGCAGAUGCAGGAACAUUAAUAAAUUGCUAAUCUGUCCUCAUUAACAAAGAAGUCCUUCCAGAGUGGAUAUUAAGACAAAGAGCUUUUGGCAUUUGCGCAGACUUCAGUGAACAUCUGUUUUUCUGAUGUCAGAAGAUUCAUUGUGUGAUAAUGGAAGCGAAGCCUCAAAGGAAAAUCCUUUUGCUGAUAAAAUGAAGAUUCCCCUGCAUCCAAACAUGCCAAAAUCCCAAGACUUUUAUCCUGUAAAAAAUGAAUUAAGAAAACAUCUUCCCUUGAAAACGUGACAGUUUUCUGUGCUCCCAUCUAGAAAGGAGGUUACAAACACUUAAUGCAAAGGCUGUGGGCCUGAUUCAUCAUCUGCUGAAGUCAAGGGCAAAUGUGUGAUUUUGUUCAUUAUAGUACCUUUCAUCUGUUCAGCUCAAUCACAUCAGAACAUUCAAAAGCUCUGUAGCUGUGUCUUUUCCUUUUGAGAAUAAAAAGCUAUUAUGAGAAAACUUGUUAUGUUGAAAAACUGGUACUAAUGGAAUUAAAUGUCCAGGUUAACCUUAGUAGAAAUGUUUUCAUUGAGAUAACUCAAUUUAAUACGACAUAAUAGAAUUUUCUAGUAUAUGUUAAAAUCCAAAUGAAGAUGUGUAAAAGUAAAGAAUGAAAUCCCUUUGAGAAAUCUGCUUAAAGCUGAUUGAUUGAAAUUGCCAUAACCUUAUAACCCCUUAUUCCUGUGAUGAGAUAAUGAUACAAUACUGAAGCAGGUGACUUAGUGAUGUAUGCUGCACUCAGAUCCUUCCUACCUGGUGACAUUUAUUGAAAGCUGACUGCUGAACUUUGUUCUAUGCCUCGUGCUAUCUAUCUGCCUUGGAGAUGCUGGAUGCUAUAAUUACAUUUUGCUUCAUUUCCUGUAUAAUUUAUGUGAAAACUCCUCCAUGGUAGGAAAGUACAAAGUCCAGAUAACGACAACAUGACAACGUAUAUGAUUUGAUGGUUGUUGAGAUUGCAGCUAGAGCUGCCCGUGACUCAACUACUUCCAAGGUCAACCAACACAAGUGAGCUCAAGCAGCACGGCACUUUGGAGGCUGUAUAAAACAAAAAUGUUUUGCUAUGUUUAAUCAACAUCAAUCUUAACGUCAUUAUUCCUAUAAACUGAGGUGUGUCUUACGGGUCGAGAAAGGAGAAAUGGUGAAUCUGAUUGGGUUACGGUGACAUUUAGCCUGUAGCAUGCUGCCUUUGUGUAAAGAUACUAAGAAUGGUUUUGUGCCAGGGCAUAAUGUUCUGAAGUCUCCAAAGCUUUGGUAUUUGUUUUAUUAUGCUUGCCAAGUUUCUUUUUUGGCAGUGAUACUAGAUGGGUUUUUUUAAGUAAUAUAUUUCUUAAUGCCAGAUGCGAUUUUUUUUUUCCUUAGAAAACUUUUCUAAAUAAAUCAUUAUGCUACCAUUUCCUCUCAUCACCAGCCUGGUCUAAAUUACAUCUAGAGAUAAUCAGCUAGAUUUGUUUCCCAGGCAAAGGAUAUUUUGUCUUCAUUGUGCACUGUUGAGAUGGUUUGUGGACCUGAUUUAGGUAGAAUUUCUGAAUCCUGGCUUAAUGUCACAAACUCUGUAUAUGCUGGCUGCCUUUCCUUGUAUUUUUACCAUAUGCUUUAUUUGCUGAGAAACAGAAAUGGGCCACAAGGCCAUUACAAAUGAGCAUGUUGGCCACUGAAAGCUGCGAGUGAUUUGCUUGUUUUGCUUAUUAUUCCUUUGACAUAAAUCCACCAUACUGUGGGGAGGGAUGAGCGCUCCCAACUCUGUUCAUCCUCCUGGUUCGUUCUCACCACCUCUCCUGCACUCACAGUAAGAAUUGUGUUGCUGAAUGGUGGCUGAAUCAAAGAACUGAUCUGCUGAAAGCUACUCUGAGAGGUGGGAACUGAGAGGGGAUUCUCAGAAAAAUUAUGAAGAGGUGCUGAAUUUUUCCUUGGACAGAAGAUGAUUAUCAUUUGCUGGUACAUACAGAGUAUCUAAAAUGACCUUCUAAGUGAUUUGUCAAUAGAAUUAAUAACAUUCCUUAUGCAAUAAGUUUAAAUUACAUGGAUUUCAUCUUUC